rnacentral:rRNA from 1 species
CAAGUCGAACGAGACGGCCCAAUGAAGACUGCGUGCUUGCACAAAGUUGGAUUUGGAUCCCCGUCUAGUGGCGCAAGGGUGAGUAACACGUGGGUAAUCUACCUUCGAGUCUGGAAUAACAGUUAGAAAUGAUUGCUAAUGCCGGAUUAUAUAUAGGAUGAUACGUCUUCCUAUAUUAAAAGGAGCCUUUAAAGCUUCGCUUGAAGAUGAGCCUGCGCCGUAUUAGCUAGUUGGUGGGGUAAAGGCCUACCAAGGCGACGAUGCGUAGCCGACCUGAGAGGGUGAUCGGCCACACUGGGACUGAGACACGGCCCAGACUCCUACGGGAGACAGCAGUUAGAAAUAUUCGUCAAUGGGGGAAACCCUGAACGAGCAAUGCCGCGUGAAGGAUGACGGUCCUAUGGAUUGUAAACUUCUGUUGUUAGGGAAGAACGACCUAGGUAGGAAAUGACCUAGGAGUGACGGUACCUUUCAAGAAAGCUCCGGCUAACUACGUG